GACGAACGCUGGCGGCGUGCCUAAUACAUGCAAGUUGAGCGCUGAAGGUUGGUACUUGUACCGACUGGAUGAGCAGCGGACGGGUGAGUAACGCGUGGGGAAUCUGCCUUUGAGCGGGGGACAACAUUUGGAAACGAAUGCUAAUACCGCAUAAAAACUUUAAACACAAGUUUUAAGUUUGAAAGAUGCAAUUGCAUCACUCAAAGAUGAUCCCGCGUUGUAUUAGCUAGUUGGUGAGGUAAAGGCUCACCAAGGCGAUGAUACAUAGCCGACCUGAGAGGGUGAUCGGCCACAUUGGGACUGAGACACGGCCCAAACUCCUACGGGAGGCAGCAGUAGGGAAUCUUCGGCAAUGGACGAAAGUCUGACCGAGCAACGCCGCGUGAGUGAAGAAGGGUUUCGGAUCGUAAAACUCUGUUGGUAGAGAAGAACGUUGGUGAGAGUGGAAAGCUCAUCAAGUGACGGUAACUACCCAGAAAGGGACGGCUAACUACGUG
rnacentral:rRNA from 1 species